CGCGGCCUAUCAGCUUGUUGGUGGGGUAAUGGCCUACCAAGGCUUCGACGGGUAGCCGGCCUGAGAGGGUGACCGGCCACACUGGGACUGAGACACGGCCCAGACCCCUACGGGAGGCAGCAGUGGGGAAUAUUGGACAAUGGGCGGAAGCCUGAUCCAGCAACGCCGCGUGAGGGAUGACGGCCUUCGGGUUGUAAACCUCUUUCACCUCCGACGAAGCGUGAGUGACGGUAGGGGGAGAAGAAGCACCGGCCAACUACGUGCCAGCAGCCGCGGUAAUACGUAGGGUGCGAGCGUUGUCCGGAAUUAUUGGGCGUAAAGGGCUCGUAGGCGGUUUGUCGCGUCGGGAGUGAAAACACCGGGCUUAACUCGGUGCUUGCUUCCGAUACGGGCAGACUAGAGGUAUUCAGGGGAGAACGGAAUUCCUGGUGUAGCGGUGAAAUGCGCAGAUAUCAGGAGGAACACCGGUGGCGAAGGCGGUUCUCUGGGAAUUACCUGACGCUGAGGAGCGAAAGUGUGGGGAGCGAACAGGAUUAGAUACCCUGGUAGUCCACACCGUAAACGUUGGGCGCUAGGUGUGGGACCCGUCCACGGGUUCCGUGCCGCAGCUAACGCAUUAAGCGCCCCGCCUGGGGAGUACGGA
rnacentral:rRNA from 1 species